rnacentral:lncRNA from 10 species
GUGAGCAGAGAUCAUCACGCCACUGCACUCCACCCUGGGUGACAGGGCGAGACUCUGCCUCAAAUAAUAAUAAUAAUAAUAAUAAUAAUAAUAAUAAUAAUAAUAAUAAUAAUAUUAAGAGGAAGUCUUGAGGGCAAAGUUGAAAGUUCCUCAGGGGCCUCAAGGCCCUGCCUAGACAUGAGUGAAAAACAGCUGAGCCCUGGAAACACCUCCGGGGUGUUCUUUGCAGGGUGAGCUUCCAACCAGAGUGCAGAAAUACAUGGCUGACAGCAAGGAAGAGAAGGUAAGAGGGAAAGAAGGAAACAGGAGAGAAAGAAAUGUAGAAAAAGCAAAGGCCAGAAAUAAGUGGGAUCUUACAAGCAGCAGGGAGCACCCGAGAGGGCAUGAAUGAAGACAGGGCUACGUGAGGUUCAUAGUGGACGGCUGGAGAGGCGGGGAGGAAAGAGAAGGCUCACAGAGGGAACUAGCAGACGAACAGAGAAAGAGCAAAAAUGGAAGAAGAGAAUCAGGAUUCUCAUUUCGAAUAGAAAUAGGAUUACUUAACUCUCCCAAUAUCCAUUCACCAAAACAGUUACCAAAUGCGAGGUCUCGUGGCAUCUUGCCAGCUGUGUCUCCAUGAAGAGUCCGAGAUUAAGUAGAGAAAACCCACACUCUUAAAGGGAACAAUAUAGUACCAUUUUCUGCUGUGUGAACACAGAUGCAGCCCAUCUGUACGCAGAUACGAAAGGAAAAAACUGCACAAAGGGUCUGUAACCUUUAAAAAAAAAAAGAUUCUGGGUGAGGCUAUCCAGAAAUAGAACAUUUUGAUUACAAAAUAAAAACUAGGUCAAUAAGAUAAUGGACGUGAUUUAAAUGAAAAUCACAGUAUUUGUAAUGGGCUAAAAAUGGUAUCAAUGUUACUGCAGAGAAGGAAUAUAAUUAAAUGUAUUUUUAAACAGCAGCUCCCCGCCCCAGUCCUACAAGUCCCAGGCCAGCCACCAGUAUUCCUCCACCUCAUCGGAGAGGAAUGUGCUGGCAUGCCGCAAGUUGGUCUGAAGAAUGUGGAGUUUCCGUACUACUUCAGAAGAUCCCAAAUGACACUGCAGGGAAGAACCAGUUGGGGGCUGGGGAAACCAGUGUUUUCUGGAGAAAGAGAAACAGCUGCUUAAGCACGAGUGUCUGAAGGAAGUCCUGUUCCCUACUGCCAACCCACGAGGCAUGACCACAGUCCAGUCGCAGGAGCUGCUAUAACAAGAUGACAAGGAGGCAAGACUGAUUCACUACUGAUUAAUGCCUGUUGAUCUUCAACAAUGGGCCAUUCCAACAAAUGCAAGAAAGGAAAAAUCACUAGCCAAUAACAUGGGGAUCCUAUCCUAUAAACAGAAAGGAAUCCCAUGGAAAGAAUUCUAAUUUUAUCUAUUUAAGCAACUAUUGGUUACUCAUGCAGGUUCAGAAACAGAGGGGACUAUGAGUCAAUAAAUGAUGUAAAG